rnacentral:tRNA from 1 species
AAUGAAUUGCCUGACAAAAAGGGCUACCUUGAUAGGGUAAAUUAUGUAAUAACUUUUACAUUCAUUA